rnacentral:rRNA from 1 species
GAGUUUGAUCCUGGCUCAGGAUGAACGCUAGCUACAGGCUUAACACAUGCAAGUCGAGGGGCAGCAUUAAAGUUUGCUUGCAAACUUUAGAUGGCGACCGGCGCACGGGUGAGUAACACGUAUCCAACCUGCCGAUAACUCGGGGAUAGCCUUUCGAAAGAAAGAUUAAUACCCGAUGGUAUAUUUUCACCGCAUGGUGAAACUAUUAAAGAAUUUCGGUUAUCGAUGGGGAUGCGUUCCAUUAGGCAGUUGGUGAGGUAACGGCUCACCAAACCUUCGAUGGAUAGGGGUUCUGAGAGGAAGGUCUCCCACAUUGGAACUGAGACACGGUCCAAACUCCUACGGGAGGCAGCAGUGAGGAAUAUUGGUCAAUGGGCGCGAGCCUGAACCAGCCAAGUAGCGUGAAGGAUGACGGCCCUAUGGGUUGUAAACUUCUUUUAUAUGGGAAUAAAGUUUGGUAUGCAUAC